rnacentral:lncRNA from 1 species
GACCUUUUGCCUUUGGCUUUCUAGACUGCUUUAACCAAGACGCCACAGUCAAAUAAGAUCACAAGCAAGACAGAAGUCUUUCAGGUAAGAGGCUGAGUGAUAAUGGAGCAAAGGGGCGUGUGAAGGAUGCUGGAAAGCCUGAUGACACGGGCAGGUAGAGAUGGCUCCAGCACGGGAGCUAAAAGCCAGCCACAGAGAGGAGCAGGCAGGACAGACAGCAGCCGUGGGCCACAGAGGAAAUCAUACCCACACUCCAUCAUCCAUACAGACCCAGGACAAGAAGAGGCAGGAUGCCUAGUGCUCCACCAGGACACUCUUACAUCUUUAAAUCAUCACUGUGGGAAGAAACGCCAUGGGUAGCAAGCUUUGUAUAAUUUUGAAAGCUGUCAUCCUUGUACUGAACAGGGACACCUGCAUUGUUUACAGAACUUGGAAGAAGCAGAAAGGCUUGCUGACAAGUCGAUAAAAC